rnacentral:lncRNA from 1 species
AAACUCCUAAGACACUUAGGAUACCCGCCCAUUGGAAGCUGAUUUUGCCGGGAAUAUUAUUUGUGUGGAAUCUGAAAUUAUAGUGGAAAUUUCCACGAUAACGCAAGGAUCUGUCUUCAGGUCAACAGAGUUCCUAAGAAGCAAUGGACAAAGACCCAGAGUCUGUGCUGGGGGCCUUGGAAGGCUCUAAACCCUGAGCAGCAGUUUACAGAAGAGGCGAACAAUAUGGAUAUGGAGACAAUCUCUUAGGAGACUUGGGAGUGCUCUCCUGUAGGAUCCAAGACUUCUCAUCUUUCCGAUGCGAACUGAAUUAUGCUAGCAUGUCAACCAGGACAUUUCAGAGAAGCAUCGAACAGAAACGUGUUAGUAAACCUCUUACCAGAACACCCUCACUAUCGAUUUUUUUUUGUCACUAAAACACAAACCAGCAUGGGACAUUAAACAGGACCUUUGGUAUUUGGUGUUGGGAAAAUGCCCCCUUGGAUCUAGAGCUCUUUAGGAGUAAUGGCUUCCCGAAAAGAACUAUAGAGAAAAAGAAGGCAGAAUAACCCAGGUGCCUGAGCAUCUUUGAGGAGAGGUUGUCUGUACAGGUGUAUGAGGAAAAGAAAAUCUUAUUUAUGAAUGGAGUGUGGUGAUACACCCUAUCCCGAGCUUUUGUCCCCACCAGCAAGAACAUGCUCAGGACAACCGGAAUCUUCUGCGGCAAAAGCUUUAUUGCUUACUUCUUUAGGAACAAGAGGAGAAGAAUAGGGGCGAAUGGCAAAACCCUGUCCCUUUUAUGGAGGAUUGUCCUCCGCCUCGGACAUGUCGCUCCCUGAUUGGCUGCAGCCCAUCAACCGAGUUGUCGUCAAGGGGAAGGCAGAGCACAUGGAGUGGAGAACUACCCCGGCACAUGCGCAGAUUAUUUGUUUACUACUUAGAACACAGGAUGUCGGCGCCAUCUUGUAAUGGUGAAUGUGAGGGUGGCUCCUCACAACAUCCCUUUAAUCCCAGUACUGAAGGCAGAGGCAGGUGGAUUUCUGAGUCUGAAGACAGCCUGGUAUAGAGAGCUAGUUCCAGGGCUAUACAAGAAGACUCUGUCUUGCAAAAAAUGAAACAAAACAAAAUAAAACAAAUGAAUAAACAAAAA